rnacentral:lncRNA from 1 species
GCAAUCAAAUACACAUAAGAAGAUGUAAGCAGUGCUCUGUAUGUAUCACCACUUUGCUAACCAUUUAUUCUUGACUGCAUACAAAGAAAUUGAAUAUGGAAACUUGUGUAAGUUUAUUAAGUUUACUAACUAGAAAAAGGCAGUUUAUUGGCUAUAAAUGUUUAAGUUUAAGCCUUUUGCGACUACAAGAUUAUCAAAUUCUCCACACCUGAUGGAUAACUCACUGUAACUUUCGUGCAAUUAAACCAGUAUAACCCACACCAGACAACUAGCCAAACUGGUUUUCUUGGGGCUGUCUGAACCAAGUCCGGGGCAAGCCUAUCCCCAAUAUUUUUCUCUUUAAUCACAGGU